GUGGAUUUACCUUUUUUGACUAUUCUGGAGUCUCCAUGCUUGUUGAGGUUUACAUGGACUGUAAAGGCAGGAGUGUGGAUGUAUUGUUAGCCCAUUGUACAGCUUCCUUGAUAAAAGCAAUGACGUAUUAUGGAAACCUAGACUCAGAGAAACCAAUUUUUUUUGAAUCGGUAUCUGCUGCAAUAAGUCAUAUCCAUUCAAAUAAGAAUUUGAGCAAACUCAGUGACCACAGUGAAGUCUGAGACCCUUUUGUCACAGUACAGCUCUUGUCUUUACCAACUGCCUGAAGAGGCCAUAUGCUGGCAUUUUGCACAACUUUUUGGUUGUUUAGAUCCUACAGAUGACCUCUGCUACAAUAAGUACGAUGUGACUUAGUAACUGCAUAGCAGUUGGAAAGAACUGCCAACUUUUUUUUCUCAUUUUUGUUAGUAAGAAGAUUCGCUUAGUUAUUUUAUGUAAAAAUCAGUAUGUGUUUAGUUUUAGUGUACUGAAGGGUAAACAUGGUUUUAUUUUAUUUUACCAUAUUAUUUUGUGUUGUUUUAUUUCUAUUGUGCUGUAAGUUGAUGUUUAAAAUUGAGAAAUACUUUUGUCAUAGGUAAUUUGGAACAUUUACAAGCCAUUUGUAAAAUUUUAAGAUAAUCUGUAACUAAUACAUAAAAACAACUU
rnacentral:lncRNA from 1 species